AGCUCGACCGGAUCGACCGCGCGCGUCACCAGCAGAUAGUCGCGGAUGCAGAUGCCGUGACGGCCCUC
rnacentral:sRNA from 1 species